rnacentral:rRNA from 1 species
AUGCUGAUUAGUUUCAUUCAGAGCUUCCUGGCAAAGUAUCCCUGUGGAAGGCCUCCUGUUGUACUUCCUAAAGGCAUAUUAGGUACAUCAAAAAGGGAAUUUCUACGGUGGCAAGUGGAGGACAUACUACUGUAUGAUUUGUAUUUGUCAAGGGUGACAAAGCAGAUUAGUUGGAAAUCCUUAAGUCUUGGCAAGCCAAUAGGAGUAUCCUCAUGGUUGGAUACACUCGGUUCUCUUGGAUCAUUGACAGUGAUGGGGGUGGCACCGUUGCAGCUUCAUGCUGGGACAUGUUGCUUAUGUUCCCUAACAUACUUAUAA